GGGCUUGUGGUUUAGUGGUAUAAUACUCCCUUAGCACCGUUAGAUGCAUUAUCAUGCAGUCUUGCAGCAAAAUGUCAUCGAACAAUCGCCUGGGAGUGGUCCGGGGUUCGAUUCCCCGCGAGUCCA